rnacentral:tRNA from 1 species
GCGCCCGUAGCUCAGAUGGACAGAGCAGGAGCCUUCUAAGCUCUUGGCCAGGGGUUCGAAUCCCUUCGGGCGCGCCA